ACGAGUAGCUCAGUUGGUUAGAGCACCUGCCUUACAAGCAGGGGGUCGGCAGUUCGAGUCUGUUCUCGUC
rnacentral:tRNA from 1 species